AAAAGGGUUAUAUGUUAUAAACUCCUAGGAAAAGUUCUUUCUUUCCUACAGAAAACCUCAUUAUCUUUAUUUUUUCUGAGUGCACCUGCUAUGUACUUGAAUAUGUGCACAUAUUCUCGUACUAGCAGAGACCAAUGGCCACAAAGCCAGUGGAUGACAAAGAGCACAUCCACAUCCACAUCCACAUCCAAAGCCAUAUCCACAUUCACAUCCACAUCCACAGAGAAUCGGAGUCAAAGCAAACCAGCAAGAUUGGCUCUGACCUUACACACACCAUGGCGAGCUAAUAAUCAAGAAGCUGUUGAGCGGCAGGCGCGUAGAAAAAAUAAAUUGAAAAGAAGCAGGUCCCCAAGCUGAGAUCCAAAGAUCCAAAGCUCCAACUCCGCGCAGCCCCAAAAAAAAUAUCGAACAAAAGCUUAAAAAAAGAGCAGACAGCAUUUUCGCAUUUUGAGGUUACGCCAACAAACGGCAAGCGAGUAAAUUGCACAGCACAAGAAUCAACCUCAACCCCAAAAAAGUGUAAAAGAAACAGCUGUUGACCAACUCAAAAUUCGGCUCUUUUUUUCGGUUUUUGCAUAAAGCCAAAACUAUAAAAAAAAGAUAGAGGCGGAAAACCAAUAACAAAGUGUACAUCGAAUUAUCUUAAAUGUUGUGCCUUGGCAAAUGUUUUGAAAACGCUCAAAAAACGCUGCCUGAUUGAAGUGUGUGUUGCUGCGCGAAAAGGUUUUCUUGAUUUCGAAUGGACUUGUCUAGCUGUGUUUGCAUGUAAUUAAAAACAUCGCGAAGCAACAACUACAACGAGUUUAAUGAGACAUAAGUGAGAAUAAUUAAUCAGUAUUCGUUAAUUGCUUAUCGUUACAAGGUUAAUCAAUAAUGACCAAUUUUCAACGAAAUGAGUGUGUAGUGUGCUCGAGAUAUAGCAUACGAUCGUUCAAAUUAGUUAUCGUUUCAAAGAAACUAAGUUAACUAAGUUUAUUAAACAUAAAUCUGCUAAAUUCUGAUAUAUACAAUAUAAAUUCAUUAGCUUAAAAGCCAGAAGAAACCGAUUCAAGAUCACUGAACCCUAGCGUUUCUAAGGUGAGCCGUACUUAAUUUAAUUCAAACCAGUUUUCAGUGGAAAUUAGUCAUUGAACCUUAGAUCCGUUCUUGAUUAAAAACUGGCCCAAAGGUUAGAGUUUGCCAGCUCGUUUGAAAGGCGCAGCAAAAAUACACACAUUCGAAUGCUUUUAAACCGGACUGAUACCUUUAAUUCACCUGGGACAUGUUUAUGUAAUUUAUAGAGAAGUAAAACUGGCACGUGUCUGUAAAGGUUAUAUAAGAUGUAGGGUUAUUUUUACUCGGUAGUAUCACAUUCAUAACAAAUUCAUCAUAUUUUCAAUAUAAUUCAGCAUUUUUAAGGAGAGUUCUUUUAAGAUUCUUCUCUUAAUUACUUGACAACGGUUUUCUACAGCUUUUAAGUCGUUCUAUCUGUAGAUCUACAAAGAUGGUCUAGUUUUCCUAUCCAUCAUCCACCCUCAACCUCAUCAAUCAUUCGAUCUGGCCCCAUAUCACGUACAUACAUACAAACAUACAUAUGUAUGUAUAGGUGAGCAGACCCAACAAAGUGGGGAAAACAAAGUCAAAGAGGAAGGUGAAGUAGAAACCGAGAAGAGAAGCAGAACCAAGAAAUAUUUUGUUGUGUGUACUCAACUUUAAGUGGCACUUCAACUUCGUGUACGGCGUUCAACUCUUCGCUUAGGUGUUUUUUAUAUAUUUUUUUUUUUUUCUUUUUCCGUAAGCAGGGGAGUUGAGUGUUGUUGGGGCGGCGAGGGGGGUUGCCUUCUUAUUUUUGGAACAAACAUAAACAACGGCGAGCAAGAAAAACCAGUUCCACGGGGCGAAGGCUAGAACAUGUUGCACGUCGUACCGCCAAGCAGGUUGCCUUUGCCUCCGACACAGCUCCACACACAGCCAUACUGCUCCACAGCUCCACAGCUCCAUAGGCUGAUAGCGUCUCCCCCAUUCGCAUUUGGAGCAUUGAGUGCAGCAGCCCAUACAGAAAAUGCUAUUUCGGGGCACACUCUCCGGCGUAUAUGUAUAUGUACGUACGUACAUAUGGCACUCGUCCUCAAUUUGGACGAAGUCCGAAAACUCACACCCCUCUGAAUGACAUAUUUUCCAGGGUCGAGCCCCGUCGUCGUCAGCCAGGAAGUUCGAUGAGAACAACAAUAACCGAAAGCGAACAGGAAUAUCCAGAUCGUGAUGCACUGAGCAAAUAAGGGUGGGCUAAGCUUUGAAGAGAGCAAGCUCAUAAAAGUGCUGGAAUUACGACCUUAUAAACAUAACACUUCCAUAAAGAUUGGAAUUAAGCUUUUUAAGCCAUAUGUUAGAUCACUAGGUCACUGCGUUUAAAACAAUAUAAUCGAAAUGGGGAAAUGAA